rnacentral:lncRNA from 1 species
AUAAUAUAAAAAAUAAUGUGGAAUAAAGAAAAUAAUAUUUUUCCAAUAAAAUCCACCCUAAUUUGAGGUAGAAAGUCUAACAAUCUCCACCUAAACCAAAUCCUAGUGCAACGAGCAAAGCUCCAAAAUUUCUCCACCUGAAAAAAUGUUCGGCUGCAUCGCAAUAACCAAGCUCCUCAAACCGUAAGAAAAACUCUCCACCUUACGAAAAACAUCACCUCUGCCCGGCAUCCACAAGCGACACCUAAAUUCUAAUCCCAGGUUCCCAAAAUACCAACAAGGAAUUAACAUUGACCAAACAGGGUCGAAGCACACCUUGUAGUAGAAUCCACACAAAAUUCCUGAGGCCACUUGCUAGAGUUGUCACCUUCAAAGACACCAAAAGUAUUCCCGACAUCUCCAAUACCGUAACUAUUUUCAAUGGAUCCAACCCUAGCAUUUGAACACAAUGUAUCAGUUGAAAUUGGUGGCAAAGCGGAAUCACCAAUGCUUUCCCCAACUAUGUUCUGAACCGACCUAGAGUCAAUCACAAGAGGUAUUGUACCAAAAUGAAUAUCCAUCACGGUGCCAAAUUUGUCCAGAUGUCUCUUAACUGGUUCUGCACACACUUGCAAGAUGUACAGUUGAGACUUUUUCUGUCCCUUCAAUACAACCCGGAUACCCCUUUGAAACUUCAAGACUCGACCUUCACCAAAAAACUUAUAGCCCUUUGAAUUCAGAGUACUCAGCGAGUGAGAUUCCUUUUCAAGUUUGGAACAUGUCGAACAUGGCCAAGUAUUUUGACUGUCCCAUCCUGCAACCUCAAUCUGACCUGACCGAUUACAGCAAUCCGACAAGAUUAGUUGUAUUUCAUGACAACUUUACCUUACUUAACUACCUCAUAUGCCUCAAACAAGUCCAGAUUGGGACACAUAUGGAACGUACAUGCUAAAUUAGAAUCCAUUCCUCAUCAGGCUUAGCUCCAUGUUUGAAACAAUCAAUAUCACACCUCUGCCAUUCGAAAAAUUCUCAGUAACAUUGGUCUCGUCCGAAGUACAUGAUUGCCUCCCAUGAUUUGCAGCGAAAUUAUCCUUAGCCUGCAACUUAUUGCAAUCUUUGUUAACAUGUCUUUUUCUCUUGCAGUAGAAGCUGUAUAAAUUGCUGAAGUUCGUUCUUGAUCUACCCCUCCGUCGAUCAUUAUGAGAUACCAGAGCAUCCUUAUAUUUAGAUGUAGCUACAAUCAAAUUCUUCAUCUUCUUCUUUGAGAAUAAAGCAUAAGCAUCUUCAAUGGCAAGCGUGUCACGACUGUACAAUAUAGUGUCUUAGAACGACGAGUAUGAAGGUGGUAGCGAACACAACAAGAUUAAGGCCAGAUCUUCUUCAUCAUAUUUGACCUCUAAUGUUUCCAAAUUCGCAACGAUUUCUUUGAACACAGCCAGUUGAUCUUCUAACGAUCUUUCAUUUGCCAUGCGAUGGGAAUACAGCCUUUGCUUUAGAUGCAGUUUGCUCAUAAGAUUUUUGGUCAUGCAGAAUUACUCCAGUUUCAACCACAAACAAGUUGUUGUUUUCUCCCUCAAUACGUCCUACCGAAUGUUAUUGGAGAAAUGAAGGUGAAUUUGCGAUAGAGUCGUCUUGUCUUUCCGUUGUUUCUCCUCCAUUGUCUAAUUUGCUGGCAUCUUAUUAAAAUCGAACAAAGCAUCGUUCAAAUCCAUAUGCGCCAACACAACUCUCAUCUUUACUUGCCACAGCGAAAAUCUCGUAUUGCAAUCCAACAACGAAAUAUCAUAUUUCAAUGUUGCCAUCUCUAAAAAAUCCCAACCAAAUAACAAGGAAACUUGUGGCCUAGCUUUGGUACAACUUGUUGGACCCGGAGGUAAUGCAAGAAUUGAGAUUAAUGAACAAUAUGAAAUAUGUAUAAUCACAACGAAGAAAACAAGACUAAAUAAAGAAGUUGAAGAGAAAUUAGCAAAGGAAUCA